rnacentral:lncRNA from 1 species
UUGGACUUGUUGACGCUACUUUGAGUUGUUUCCUUCCCGAGGUUCGUGAUUGCUGAGCGUCCGUCCCUGCUGGAUUGGUUGUUUCACCUCCCUAUGAACAUCCUGUGUCUGAAUGAGCUGCCUCCUCUGGUGGAAGGUUUUAAUCUUGGAGGAAACUGUUAAAGAGCAGAUUUUGAUAUGGUUCAGCUGGGAAAGGCACUUGCCUGAAUUUGAUCCUCAUGUCCGACAUGGUACAAGAGGAGAACUGACUCUAGUGAGUUGUCCUCAGGCUGCCAUAUGUGUACCAUAGCAUGUGCAUGCCCACCCACCACCCACCCCCAAAAUGUAAUUUUUAAAGUAUUUUUUGUCCCUACUGUUGAAGAUUAUAAGUGUAAUUGUAUAGAAAUAAACUACUUUCUCCACUAAUCUAUUGGUAGUAAUUGUGUCCAAUCCUCACACUCUGCUGCUAUCUCCCUUACUACUACUGCUGGGUACAGUGAAAUUUUGAAACCCUCAAACUGAGACAUGAAGAUUAGAAUUAGUUUCUUUUGAAAUUUCCCAUAAUAAUAUUUUUAGCUUCUCCUGAGAAUAUUGGGGUUUUUUGUUUUGUUUUGUUGGCUUUUCAAGACAGGGUUUCCGUGUAUAGCCUGAUUAUCCUAAAACUCACUCUGUAGCCCAGGUUAGCCUUAAAUUCAGACAUUUGGCCACCUGUACCUCCUUGAAUGCUAGAAGUA